rnacentral:lncRNA from 1 species
AAAAGAGCGGGUGAUGUCCUAACAUGCCGCUGUUGCUUAAUGGUUGUGUUGUCGGGCUGAAGAGGGCGGAGUGGUGGCAGGCGACGCGAGAAAGGAAAGGCGAUGCGCCCUCAGGAAACGGUAGCCAUGCAAGAUGGGUGGAUCUCCAUCAGCAGCAAGCCCUGUCUACUCUGUGGAGUGCAGAUGGUGCACCAGCGCAAGUCCACCAGCAAAUGACGCUUGCUCUAGAUUCACAUCAGUCUCAUCAGGAUCCGCAUGSAGUCAGUUGUGAGCCAGKUGUGACCACCACGGUUGCAAGACCUUGCAUGAGUGAGAAGUGGACUCUGUGCAAGGAGAUCUGCACAAUGCAAAUGCUGUCCUGAUAUGCCACAAGUGAAAAGAGCUCAGCGCCUAGUGAAUAUUGUUGUAGUGGAGAUCUGACAGAAGUUGCCAUAUACUUUAGUUGACUUAUAYUCCUGUGGCAGGAUCAGGUAAAAGACUGGGACCCAAGUCGUCAGUGGUUCUGAAUGCCUUAAUGUUUUGAAAUCAUUUUGCCACACCUAGUGAGCCACAAAAAGCUGAAAAAAGCUUUUGUCUUUAUUUACUUGAAURGGUUAUGGGUCUUCUCACUUUAUUUACUUGCGCCUUCAGUCCCAGCCUGACCACACUGGUUUUGUGCUAAGGGGUGCCUAGAAAAUGUAAAAGCAUUAAGCAAGUAUUAAACAUUUCUUAUUUCUACAGCAAGCCUAUUUUCAAGUGAUAAUUUUAAAUAUCUGUUCUGUUUUGCUCUCCYCUAAAUUUGCAGCAGAAUUCCACACCAAUUAAAACACUGAUUUAUUUAAAAUAUAACUAAUAAGCUUUCUUUGUCCUCUCUCUCCUGCUGGAAAAUCCCACCUGAUCCCUAAUUAACAAAUUGAUUUAUUAAAAGUGUAACUAAUGACCUCCCUUUGUCCUUUUCUUUGAGCUACAGAAUCCCACCUGAUCCCAAAUUAUCACAUUGAUUUAUUUAAAUUAAUACAUGCAUUGCAUAGUUUCUUUAUUUUGCCCCUCACUGUAUGCCUCAGGCAUAUGUUCCAAGUCAAGUGUUGAGGCUCUGAUUUUACCACUCACAGAGCAAAUACUUUAAGAAAAAAAUACAUGUUUAAAAUGCCAGACUGUACCCUUAUGUUUUUAAUUAUUCAAGUGUUCCUACUAUUAAGAUCAAUAUGAAGUCAUGGAURGUAACUUGCAAGAUGAACCUUGCAGAUCCUAUUCCAACAAAUCACUUAAGCACAUGUUUGUCUUCAAGCCUACUAGCAUGAGUGGAUCUCCGCAGGUCACUGUCACUGAGUAUGUGCAUGAAGUGCUUUGCUAAGUAAGCAGUGCCCUGAAGAGAAACCCCUU